rnacentral:pre_miRNA from 14 species
UGCUAGGGACUGAAAGCCAGUCCUCCCUGAAAGACCCCCGGAGUGGGGAGACCCUCACUCAAGUCUCGGGAUGACGCAAUCCCCCAAGAACUCACACAAGACC